rnacentral:rRNA from 1 species
AUACGGAGGAUCCAAGCGUUAUCCGGAAUCAUUGGGUUUAAAGGGUCCGUAGGUGGACAGAUAAGUCAGAGGUGAAAUCCUGCAGCUCAACUGUAGAAUUGCCUUUGAAACUGUUUGUCUUGAGUCAUUGUGAAGUGGUUAGAAUGUGUAGUGUAGUGGUGAAAUGCAUAGAUAUUACACAGAAUACCGAUUGCGAAGGCAGAUCACUAAUAAUGUACUGACACUGAUGGACGAAAGCGUGGGUAGCGAACAGGAUUAGAAACCCUAGUAGUCC